rfam:Ictidomys tridecemlineatus contig071543, whole genome shotgun sequence.
GGAGAUAUAGCUCAGUUGGUAGAGUGCCUGACUUGCAUGCAUAAGGCCCUGGGUUCAAUCCCCAGCUCCG